GUAGCACAAGGGAGCUUGCUCCCUGGGUGACGAGCGGCGGACGGGUGAGUAAUGUCUGGGAAACUACCUGAUGGAGGGGGAUAACUACUGGAAACGGUAGCUAAUACCGCAUAACGUCGCAAGACCAAAGAGGGGGACCUUCGGGCCUCUUGCCAUCAGAUGUGCCCAGAUGGGAUUAGCUAGUAGGUGGGGUAAUGGCUCACCUAGGCGACGAUCCCUAGCUGGUCUGAGAGGAUGACCAGCCACACUGGAACUGAGACACGGUCCAGACUCCUACGGGAGGCAGCAGUGGGGAAUAUUGCACAAUGGGCGCAAGCCUGAUGCAGCCAUGCCGCGUGUGUGAAGAAGGCCUUCGGGUUGUAAAGCACUUUCAGCGAGGAGGAAGGUGGUGAGCUUAAUACGCUCAUCAAUUGACGUUACUCGCAGAAGAAGCACCGGCUAACUCCGUGCCAGCAGCCGCGGUAAUACGGAGGGUGCAAGCGUUAAUCGGAAUUACUGGGCGUAAAGCGCACGCAGGCGGUUUGUUAAGUCAGAUGUGAAAUCCCCGGGCUCAACCUGGGAACUGCAUUUGAAACUGGCAAGCUAGAGUCUCGUAGAGGGGGGUAGAAUUCCAGGUGUAG
rnacentral:rRNA from 1 species